rnacentral:rRNA from 1 species
CCUACGGGAGGCAGCAGUGAGGAAUAUUGGUCAAUGGACGAGAGUCUGAACCAGCCAAGUAGCGUGAAGGAUGACUGCCCUAUGGGUUGUAAACUUCUUUUAUAUGGGAAUAAAAUGUUCCACGUGUGGGAUUUUGUAUGUACCAUAUGAAUAAGGAUCGGCUAACUCCGUGCCAGCAGCCGCGGUAAUACGGAGGAUCCGAGCGUUAUCCGGAUUUAUUGGGUUUAAAGGGGGCGUAGGUGGAUGGUUAAGUCAGUUGUGAAAGUUUGCGGCUCAACCGUAAAAUUGCAGUUGAAACUGGCAGUCUUGAGUACAGUAGAGGUGGGCGGAAUUCGUGGUGUAGCGGUGAAAUGCUUAGAUAUCACGAAGAACUCCGAUUGCGAAGGCAGUUCACUGGACUGCAACUGACACUGAGGCUCGAAAGUGUGGGUAUCAAACAGGAUUAGAUACCCGGGUAGUC